AAAAAUAAAACAAAUAAAAAUAAAAGUAAAACAAACAUAUCAGGGACCAUAAUAAAAGUGGAGCUGUACUUGACUCAGUACAUGUCAGGAAAGUGCUCCUGGGGCAAUGUUGUCCCCUUUCAUCUGUCACUGGAGACCUAGCAAUGUGACUUCAGAUAGAGACUUGUGUAUCCUACAGUUCUCACUCCUUUAAUGAUGUGGAUCUACUGCAUUUCAUCUGGAAUAACCAUUCUUGAUCCUCAGUGUUCCUUCCUUUCACUCUUCAUAAAAAGCCUCACAUGUUGGUAUAGUCCAGCAAGGUACUCCUCUUCCCCAAACUUACACAAAACACAAAGAGUAACAGAAAAAUAAAGUGUGGAAACUGGACAGGAUAAAAUCAGUGGUGUAGAACUAACACUGUACCUCAUACCAUGGAGCUUAGUAGUCAGAUCAGACUGAGUUACAGGAAUAAAAAAGACACUUCUCAGUAAGAUACUCUUCCUAAAAGGUCUACACUGCAUUGCCGUUCCUAGUAAUGUUCAGGAGCCUCACUUCCCACCCUAUGAAGUCUUCCAAACCACUGACAGAAAUCUUAGUUCACAUGGACUUGCAGGGAAAUACUUGAUUUCCAUUUGUCUGAUAGGAAGAGCACAGUCUG